rnacentral:rRNA from 2 species
UGGGGAAUUUUGGACAAUGGGCGCAAGCCUGAUCCAGCCAUGCCGCGUGCGGGAAGAAGGCCUUCGGGUUGUAAACCGCUUUUGUCAGGGAAGAAAUCUUCUGGGUUAAUACCUCGGGAGGAUGACGGUACCUGAAGAAUAAGCACCGGCUAACUACGUGCCAGCAGCCGCGGUAAUACGUAGGGUGCAAGCGUUAAUCGGAAUUACUGGGCGUAAAGCGUGCGCAGGCGGUUUUGUAAGACAGAGGUGAAAUCCCCGGGCUCAACCUGGGAACUGCCUUUGUGACUGCAAGGCUUGAGUGCGGCAGAGGGGGAUGGAAUUCCGCGUGUAGCAGUGAAAUGCGUAGAUAUGCGGAGGAACACCGAUGGCGAAGGCAAUCCCCUGGGCCUGCACUGACGCUCAUGCACGAAAGCGUGGGGAGCAAACAGG